rnacentral:sRNA from 1 species
ACGGUUCUGCCCAUCCUGUGCCAUAGGGGCUACAUUCCGGUGGCCUUAAGCAAUUCCGCGGGAGCUGGCUCUGUCUGGAUCCUGGUCCAGUUACCUGGCGCCCACCUGUAUAUACAGGUCUGCGGGAAUAAGUUCCCUUACGUUUGUGGUGGUUCCGUC